CCGGCCUUGUCGUAGGCUGAACCUGCGGUAUCAUAAACCAUGUCUUUAGCUUGGCCAGCCUUGUUGUAUGCUGUGUCUUUGGCUUGACCGGCCUUGUCGUAGGCUGAUCCUGCGGUAUCAUAAAUCAUGUCCUUAGCUUUGCUAGCCUUGUCGUAUGCUAUGUCUUUGGCUUGACUGGCCUUGUCAUAGGCUGAUCCAGUCUUGUCAGAAGCCGUGUCCUUGGCUCUACCAGCUUUGUCAUAGACCAUAUCCUUGGCUUGACCCGCUUUGUCAUAGACCAUAUCCUUUGCAUCAGUGGCCUU
rnacentral:lncRNA from 1 species